UUUUGGAAGUAAAUUUAUGUUAUAAUAAAUCAGCUAUUUUUCAUUGUAAUUAAUAACUUCAUGAGAAAUGUAUAAAAUAAAAAAGUUAGCAGCCUAUGGGCUAUGGCUAUAAUGGUGUGAAUAAGUACGAAUGUAUAAAUAGUUGAUCAAAUUUGGGUAUUGUUAUCAUUAUUAUUAUUAUUAUUAUUAUUAUUAUUAUUAAAGACUGAUCUAUGCUACUCCACAGAAAUACUUAUUUCGGUUUUUAAAAAGUGUCACUUUUAUUUAUUUCACGAAAAUUUUAAAAAAUUAUAAUAGACUAUACCUUUAGUGAAAUGAAAUAAUUUAAAUAAAAUGAUAUUAGUUAUUCAAAAAAUAAAAUAGAUUUAAUUUAUAAAAUUAAUUGAAAAUGUAGAAUAAUAUUUGUUUUGAAACAAAAAAAAAAAACUAAAGUGACACUUUUAAAAAUUAGAGGGAGAAUAUGUAAAAAUAGUAUCACGAAGUUUGGGCUUGAAACGGCUAAGACCAUCCACAACGGGAUAUGUUAAAGGAAUCCUUAGCGCAAAUCCUUAGGUUUGUUUUAAUAAAAUAUUAUUAAUUAUCUUAAUUGAACUAAGGAUUGGUCCGUCGAGAAAGAUAUUAAGGAUCAAGUCCUUGUGUACGUGUCACCGCUUGAGUGGGUCGGUCUCAGUUUAGGGUUUGGCUUGGGUAAAAAAAAAAUCAUUCUCGACCGAAGGAGAAAAAAAAAAGAGCUCUCGAAAGAAAGGCGACAUCGCGGCGAUCUCUCUCCCUCGGCUUGACCAAGGUAAACGAAUAUGGGACAAGAUUACAGUUACAGCCAGCCAUCUUCAUCAUCAAACUUUGUAGACAUAACCUCCCUCCUUGAAGCAGAAGGUCAGAUGUACGCGGAUGAAGCUGAGAGUAGCUACAUCAUUUCUCUCGUUUGGUCUUUAGCUAUGUAUCACCUUCUCUUUGUUUCCUCUUUAUCAAAACUUGACUUAUGUUCUUGUGUUUUCUCGGAGAUGUUGUAAGAUGUUGCUACCAUGAUCUUCUAAAGAUCACAAAACCUGACUGAUCUCUUGUAAUAUUUGUGUGUAAGAAGUUCUUCUCUUGAUUAUCUUUGUAUCAAUAAUAAGACUUGCUAGAAUGUUAUAGUAAAAA